UUGGAAGACUCCACCAUUACAGGCAGCCACCAGCAGAUGUCAGCAAGUCCUUCCUCUGCACCUGCAGAAGAAGCAACAGAAAAGACCAAAGUGGAAGAGGAAGUGAAAACCAGAAAGCCCAAGAAGAAAACCAGGAAGCCCAGCAAGAAAAGCCGGUGGAAUGUCCUGAAAUGUUGGGACAUUUUUAAUAUAUUUUAGAGACCUCUGAAGAUUCCUCGAACACCAGGAAGGGCCCCGAUGUGGGGAUGUCAACAUGGCUCAGACUUGAUGUGGAUCGUGAUCAUUUCGGGAAAUGUGUUACUCCAAAAACUUUUAUAAUCUUUGCUUAAUUUGUUUUUAAAUACUUUCCUGGCUGGGCGUGGUGGCUUAUGCCUGUAAUCCCAGCACUUUGGGAGGCCGAGGCGGGUGGAUCACCUGAGGUCAGGAGUUCAAGACCAGCCUGGCCAACAAGGUGAAACCCCGUCUCUACUAAAAAUACAAAAAUUAGCUAGGCGUGGUGGCACACUCUUGUAGUCCCAGCUAUUUGGGAGGCUGAGGAAGGAGAAUCACUUGAACUCAGGAGGCAGAGGUUGCAGUGAGCCGAGAUCAUGCCACUGCACCCCAGCGCCUGGC
rnacentral:lncRNA from 1 species